AUUAGUAUUUGUUGCAGUUCUGUCCACCUGCCCGAGCAGUAUGAUUCUUCACCAAACAAAAUUGAAGGGGCUUUUUAGUGGGCGUGUCAUCUCAAAGAAACCAAGAUUAUUUUCUUCGACUAAACCCGAAAUUUCAGAUGCGUUUGGAGAAACUUUCGAUCCUUUUCAGAUCAAGAAUGCAUCCCUUUCGUCUCAGCCUGAAUUCAUACCAAUAAGCAAAGGUUGCCUUCCACCUGCAUCUGGUGUUAGCGUUAAGAAGCUUGGGUCUGGCUUCACCUUUGUGGCUAUUAACGAGCCGGUCCCUAUUACGACUAUGUCAUUAUUCGUCAAGGCCGGAUCGCGCUUUGAGGACGAUCGUAGUGUCGGCGCAUCGCAUUUUUUGAAACGCUUAGCUUUUCGAAGUACCGAAAAAAAGUACUACUACCCUCUGAUUCGCGACAUGGACGUACUGGGUAGCGAGCUCGGGUCUCUGAAUACUCGUGAGCACGUCGGAUACUUCAUCACUGGUAUGCGGUCCGAGAUGAAGUCUAUGGCGCAGACGCUUGGUGCUAUUUGGGAACCUCGUCUGGAAGAAUGGGAAGUCGAGCGCGUUCGUCAAGAAGUGAAAGACGAAUCCAAUUUAGCUCAGAGCAACCCAAAACAAAUACUAUUUGAUCUAGUGCAUUAUGAAGCAUUUCGCGAUCAAGGUUUGGCUAAUUCUACUUUCGCCCCACUCUAUAGUGUCGACCAAAUCGAUCCUCUGAUAUUGCGUAAAUAUGUCAACACACAUUAUGCACCUAGCCGAAUCACAAUCGUUGGGAAUGGUGCCAGUAUGGAAGAUCUUCAAUCAAUGGUAGAAUAUUUUGAACCUUUCGAUAUUCGCGGUCUUAUUGAAAAAUCCGUGAAUCACUUCAGAGAAGAUUUCUUCUCUGUGCUCAUGAAGCCAGGUACUAUUUACGAUGCCAAGCAAACCUAUGUCGGCGGUGGAGAGGUCCGCGUACCCGGGUCCGGAUCGACUCAAAUCGUAGUCGCUAGCGAGGGCAUUGGAGCCAACAAAGACAUUGCUUCCCAAAUUUCAGCUUCUAUUAUUCAAAAUGUGCUCGGUGGUGGAUCCUCAUCUCUCCGCGGAAUUAUCCCGGGCCUAGGCAGGCAGAGUCGUCUAGGCCGAGACGCCUUCCAUGCAGGUGGAUGGAUACGUGAAAUAUUCGCAUUCAACUUUAGCUAUUCCGACUCUGGUCUUUUUGGUAUUUAUGCCAACGCCUCAACAGGAAACGUCAAGUCUAUUUGUGACAUUAUCGGAAACCAAAUCCGAUCCCUUGAAAAUAUCAAGGACGAAGAAAUUGCUCGCGCUCGUGCACAGUUGAAGUCUUCCUUUUUAUCUAGAAUGUAUUCUGACCGCCUUGCAGCAGCAGAGUUUUACACCUCUCAAGUCAACAACACCGGCAGUGCGAUGACACCUAUUGAAUACGCGUCAGAAAUAGACAAGGUUGACACCAAAACCAUAUUGGAAACGGCUAAGCAAAUCGCCUCUUCCAAGUUAACUGUCGCAGCUUUUGGAGAUAUCAAGGGACUCCCAAAGUUCUGAGACAAAUUUGGCAUGUUUUUUAAAGAGAAAAAAAAACACAGCUAGAAAUCAGUACACAGUUCUCAUUUUUCGCGUCUAUAAAAGUACAUAUCAUGAAUCUCGCGGCAUGCAUAUUACUGAGCUUCUUUGCUUAAUAAUUGAAUGAACGAGUGCUAUGAUUAAAAUCUCUUCUUGAACUGUAUAUUUCCUCCAAUUUGCGCUGUUCUUUUCCUUCUGUCUCUUUUACUUGCUUCGCAGGCACGGUAAUUUUUUGACCUGAGUACCAGUACCAUGCAUAUUUUUCUAUCUCAUCGAGGGUUCUUCCCGCUUCAAUCCAUAUGCACGUUCUCAGAUCCCAGAAAGCAACUCCCAUCAUGUAAAAUACUUCCAAACCUUUCCAGUUUGUCAAUUUUAUAACGGUUCAAUUGCUUACGCUAGAACACAAAUUGCUAUCUGAUUUUCAGAACCUGAAUGCACAAAUUUACAGUUUAUCGACUGUUUCCGGUUAAAAUCGAGCGUCUAUUUUUCUUCAUCUCGUUGAAGGUCAUACACUGAGCUAGUAAGAACUGAGAUAGAGUGUGAAGAAGUUCUUGGGCCAAUUCUGCGUAAUUUAUUAAGAAUGUAUCAUUUCAAGAGAACAAAAAAAAUAGUUAAUGUGAUUAUCGUCUAGGAAGGAUAGGAUUCCUUAAAAAUGAUGGAAUCGAAUGACAAAAAUGUAUUUCAAACAAUUCAUUUGCACCUAUGAAUAGCUUUUAACCAUCAAAAACUUGUAAUUGUGUUUAUUAGCAACAACGACACAAAAGAAAGGUUACAUAUUUAAAAUAAUCGACUAAAAACAAUCAUUUAAACAAUGUUGUUUCUUCAAGGAGCUUUUUAUCAGCUAGAAGUACACUUUAUACCUCCUAGGCAUAAAUAUAAGCAUCUGGAUAAAAAAGAAAAAGGUAUAACUAGAAUUUAUUAGACUACAAAAUCAUGGCAUUAGGUUCGAUAUCUCCUCAUAAAAGCUGACUAGCUCGACAAAAUAGUAAAACUACAGCGUUUUUACGUCGUGCAGAUACGUCUUGAAAAUGUGGUGAAAAUCUAGUAUAUAUUAACAAUAUUAGAACUUUAUAUUGUACUGUCUACGAAUUUUAAACAAAAUAUAGAAAGAUAAGCAAAAACCGAAAUUUCGGCAGCACUAGCAUAGCUUUCUGUAUACAGUUUAAACAGAUAAAAAUUUUCAAUUAAUUGAUAGAU